GAUGAACGCUAGCGGCAGGCUUAAUACAUGCAAGUCGAGGGACAGCACAGGUAGCAAUACUGGGUGGUAACCGGCAAACGGGUGCGGAACACGUACACAACCUUCCUUUAAGUGGGGGAUAGCCCAGAGAAAUUUGGAUUAAUACCCCGUAAUAUAGUUGAAUGGCAUCAUUUGAUUAUUAUAGCUACGGCGCUUAAUGAUGGGUGUGCGGCUGAUUAGAUAGUUGGCGGGGUAACGGCCCACCAAGUCUACGAUCAGUAGCUGAUGUGAGGGCAUGAUCAGCCACACGGGCACUGAGACACUGGCCCGACUCCUACGGGAGGCAGCAGUAAGGCAUAUUGGUCAAUGGCCGCAAGUCUGAACCAGCCAUGCCGCGUGAAGGAUUAAGGUCCUCUGGAUUGUAAACUUCUUUCAUUUGGGACGAAAAAGGGCCUUUCUAGGUCAACUGACGGUACCAGAUGAAUAAGCACCGGCUAACUCCGUGCCAGCAGCCGCCGUAACAC
rnacentral:rRNA from 1 species